rnacentral:rRNA from 1 species
UACAGAGGUCUCAACCGUUGUUCGGAUUCAUUGGGCGUAAAGGGUGCGUAGGCGGUCGCGCAAGUCGGAUGUGAAAUCUCAGGGCUCAACCCUGAAACUGCAUUCGAUACUGCGUGGCUAGAGUGCUGGAGAGGAGACUGGAAUUUACGGUGUAGCAGUGAAAUGCGUAGAUAUCGAAAGGAAGACCAGUGGCGAAGGCGAGUCUCUGGACAGCAACUGACGCUGAGGCACGAAGGCCAGGGGAGCAAACGGG